rnacentral:rRNA from 2 species
UAACAGGAUUCCCCUAGUAACUGCGAGUGAAGCGGGAAAAGCUCAAAUUUAAAAUCUGGCGGUCUUAUGGCCGUCCGAGUUGUAAUCUGGAGAAGUGUUUUCCGCGUCGGACCGUGUACAAGUCUCCUGGAACGGAGCGUCAUAGAGGGUGAGAAUCCCGUCCAUGACACGGACCGCCGAUGCUUUGUGAUACACUCUCGAAGAGUCGAGUUGUUUGGGAAUGCAGCUCAAAAUGGGUGGUAAAUUCCAUCUAAAGCUAAAUAUUGGCGAGAGACCGAUAGCGAACAAGUACCGUGAGGGAAAGAUGAAAAGCACUUUGGAAAGAGAGUUAAACAGUACGUGAAAUUGUUGAAAGGGAAACGCUUGAAGUCAGUCGCGUCUUUCAGAACUCAGCCUUGCUUCGGCCUGGUGUACUUUCUGUUAGACGGGUCAACGUCAAUUUCGAUCGGCGGAGAAAGGUUGAGGGAAUGUAGCGUUGUUUCGGCGACGUGUUAUAGCCCUCUUCUGUAUACGUCGGCUGGGAUUGAGGACCGCAGCGCGCCUUUAUGGCCAGGGGUUCGCCCCAUGUACCGCGCUUAGGAUGUUGGCAUAAUGGCUUUAAGCGACCCGUCUUGAAACACGGACCAAGGAGUCUAACAUGCUUGCGAGUAUUCGGGUGGAAAACCCUUGUGCGUAAUGAAAGUAAAAGUUGGGAGCCUCCGCGAGGGGGUGCACCGACGCCCGGCCCUGACGUUCUCUGACGGUGCUGCGGUAGAGCAAGUAUGUUGGGACCCGAAAGAUGGUGAACUAUGCCUGAAUAGGGCGAAGCCAGAGGAAACUCUGGUGGAGGCUCGUAGCGAUUCUGACGUGCAAAUCGAUCGUCAAAUUUGGG